UACGUAGGGGGCUAGCGUUGUCCGGACUUACUGGGCGUAAAGCGCGCGCAGGCGGUCGUGUAUGUGCCGUGCGAAAAGCGCCCGGGGCUACUCCCCGGCGAGGUCAUGGUAGACAGCACGACUUGAGCCUCGGAGAGGUCGGUGGAAUUCCGGGUGGAGCGGUGAAAUGCGUAGAUAUUAGGAGGAACACCAGUGGCGAAGGCGGCUUACUGGACGGUAACUGACGUUUGAGGCUCGAAAGCGUGGGGGAGCAAACAGGG
rnacentral:rRNA from 1 species